rnacentral:rRNA from 1 species
UAACGAAUAUUCCGCAAUGCGCGAAAGCGUGACGGAGCAAUGCCGCGUGCAGGAUGAAGCCCUUCGGGGUGUAAACUGCUGUCAGGGUAUAGGAAGCAAGUGACCAUACCCAAAGGAAGGGCCGGCUAACUUCGUGCCAGCAGCCGCGGUAAUACGAAGGGCCCGAGCGUUAAUCGGAAUCACUGGGCUUAAAGGGUGCGCAGGCGGGCGCGCAGGCAUCUUGUGAAAUCCCCCGGCUCAACCGGGGAAAUGCAGGGUGAACCGCGUGUCUUGAGGCAAGUAGGGGCUGUCGGAACGCUAGGUGGAGUGGUGAAAUGCGUUGAUAUCUAGCGGAACGCCGAAGGAGAAAUCAGGCAGCUGGGCUUGUUCUGACGCUGAGGCACGAAAGCGUGGGGAGCGAACGGGAUUAGAUACCCCUGUAGUCC